UACAUGGGGUGCAAACGUUGCUCGGAAUUAUUGGGCGUAAAGCGCACGUAGGUGGUCUGUUAUGUCAGAUGUGAAAGCCCUCGGCUUAACUGAGGAAGUGCACCUGAAACUGGCAGGCUUGAGUACGAAAGAGGGUCGCGGAAUUCCCGGUGUAGAGGUGAAAUUCGUAGAUAUCGGGAGGAACACCGGUGGCGAAGGCGGCGACCUGGUCCGAUACUGACACUGAGGUGCGAAAGCGUGGGGAGCAAACAGG
rnacentral:rRNA from 1 species